UGGGAUAUAGUAUAAUGGCAGUACAGUAGAUUUUGGUUCUAUUAGUCUUGGUUCGAAUCCAGGUAUCCCAA
rnacentral:tRNA from 1 species